CCGCCACCCCUCGGCUUGCUGCGACUCACCGGCCACCACAUUAGGAACUAGGAGGCGGCGACAGUCUCCCCUCGCAGGCGUCCUCGCUCGCCGGAGCCGCGCAAGGGAGAGGGACUCCGGCAGGCGGCCAAUGAGAAGCAGCCGCAUUCACACCCCUCCUCCUCCUCUCCUGGCCUGCCCUCGAAAACGAUGCAAAGAAGAGAUAAACUACAAGCAAUUAUGUACUUUGCAAGAAUAGCACAAAGCUGCUCCAGACAAACCUCAACAAUAACAAUUGAAGUAAUCUCAUCAGGAGCUUGUCCUGCAUGUCAUCAAGGGAGUACAGCAAGUUGCAUUCCAUAAUAAGUGAAAGAGAAGAAAUGGCAACUGAACUAUGGGGAACAGAUUGGCAGGAGACACUGCUGCAUGUUCUGUGCUUCCUCAAAAAUCCCUGCAUGGAGUGGAGCUUUGGAUGUGGCAGCUCAGUGGGACAUAUGCCUUGCUCCUUCCACAUCAGGAGGACGCAUCCUUUGCCUCAUCAGAGAGAUCCUGAUUCAGCCAAUUAUAUAAGGAUGUGCAUCACUGUAAAGUCAAGAGGAUGUGAUUAAAGCAAGCACAAGAAGUACCUUUCUGAAAAUUAAUGUAUCAAUUACAUUUAGCGAUGGGCAGGAGGACUUUCUGAUGAUGCAAAAGCCUCACAAAUUGUAUAGUCAACCUAUCACAUGCCCACCACUCUAUUUAUGUUUGUUUUGUGUGAUGCAAGUUAUUUCUCUUUCUUUGAGUAGCUUUCCAACAAAAGACUCUUAAUUAAAAAAACCAUGUCAUAAAUA